rnacentral:misc_RNA from 1 species
GAACGCAUAUUGCGCUCUUUGGUAUUCCGAAGAGCAUGCUUGUUUGAGUAUCAGUAAACACCUCAAAGCUUUUGAUUUAUUUUGAAGGCUUUGGACUUGAGCGAUCCCAACACCAAUCUUUUAAGAUCGGCGGCGGGUUGCUUGAAAUGCAGGUGCAGCUGGACAUUCUCCUGAGCUAAAAGCAUAUUUAUUUAGUCCCGUCAAACGGAUUAUUACUUUUGCUGCAGCUAAUAUAAAGGGAGUUUGGCCGUUUUGGCUGACUGAUGCAGGAUUUCACAAGGGUCGGCAACGAUUCUUGUUAAACUCGAUCUCAAAUCAAGUAAGACUACCCGCUGAACUUAAU